rnacentral:tRNA from 1 species
CAGAGCAUAGCUAAACAUAUAUAGCACUUCCCUUACACCGAAAAGUUAUCCGCGUAAAUCGGAUUGCCCUGA